rnacentral:tRNA from 1 species
AUCUAUAUAGUAUAUAAGUAUAUUUGACUUCCAAUCAUAAGGACUACUAAUUAAGUAGUAUAGAUA